GAUGAACGCUGGCGGCGUGCCUAAUACAUGCAAGUCGAGCGAACAGACGAUGAGCUUGCUCCUCUGACGUUAGCGGCGGACGGGUGAGUAACACGUGGAUAACCUACCUAUAAGACUGGGAUAACUUCGGGAAACCGGAUCUAAUACCGGAUAAUAUAUUGAACCGCAUGGUUCAAUAGUGAAAGACGGUUUUGCUGUCACUUUUAGAUGGAUCCGCGCCGCAUUAGCUAGUUGGUAAGGUAACGGCUUACCAAGGCAACGAUGCGUAGCCGACCUGAGAGGGUGAUCGGCCACACUGGAACUGAGACACGGUCCAGACUCCUACGGGAGGCAGCAGUAGGGAAUCUUCCGCAAUGGGCGAAAGCCUGACGGAGCAACGCCGCGUGAGUGAUGAAGGUCUUCGGAUCGUAAAACUCUGUUAUUAGGGAAGAACAAAUGUGUAAGUAAAUAUGCACGUCUUGACGGUACCUAAUCAGAAAGCCACGGCUAACUACGUG
rnacentral:rRNA from 1 species